UACGAAGGGGGCUAGCGUUGCUCGGAAUCACUGGGCGUAAAGCGCACGUAGGCGGCUCUUUAAGUCAGGGGUGAAAUCCUGGAGCUCAACUCCAGAACUGCCUUUGAUACUGAGGAUCUUGAGUCCGGGAGAGGUGAGUGGAACUCCGAGUGUAGAGGUGAAAUUCGUAGAUAUUCGGAAGAACACCAGUGGCGAAGGCGGCUCACUGGCCCGGUACUGACGCUGAGGUGUGAAAGCGUGGGGAGCAAACAGG
rnacentral:rRNA from 1 species